rnacentral:pre_miRNA from 1 species
AGAGGGAUAGCUGGGUCAAAUGGUGGUUCCAUUCCCAGAUUUCCAAGGAAUUUCCAUACUGCUUUCCAUAUUGUCUGCACCAAUUUGCAGUCCCAUCAGCAAU